rnacentral:rRNA from 1 species
CUACGGGGGGCAGCAGUGAGGAAUAUUGCACAAUGGGGGGAACCCUGAUGCAGCAACGCCGCGUGGAGGAUGACGCAUUUCGGUGUGUAAACUCCUUUUAUAUGCCAAGAAAAUGACGGUAGCAUAUGAAUAAGCACCGGCUAACUCCGUGCCAGCGGCCGCGGUAAUACGGAGGGUGCAAGCGUUACUCGGAACCACUGGGCGUAAAGGACGCGUAGGCGGGUUGGAAAGUCAGGUGUGAAAUCCUACAGCUUAACUGUAGAACUGCACUUGAAACUUCUAAUCUAGAGUAUGGGAGGGGGAGAUGGAAUUAGUGGUGUAGGGGUAAAAUCCGUAGAUAUCACUAGGAAUACCUAAAGCGAAGGCGAUCUCCUGGAACAUUACUGACGCUAAGGCGUGAAAGCGUGGGGAGCAAACAGGAUUAGAUACCCUGGUAGUC